rnacentral:lncRNA from 1 species
GCCAUUCCCGAGAGCCGCCGCGGAGGGAUACGCGCCACAGCGCCGCGCGCUGAGUGGGGCGCCGCGCGGGCCGGGAGCGGCGGGGCUGAUGGGUACCCCGAGCGGGGGCUCCCGCCGGGAUCCGUCUGCGCCGAGCCCGCGGGAUGGAGGCGCGAAGAGGGGCAGGAGGAAGAAGUCGCGCUGUUGUUCUCCAAGCAAAAGACUAAAUGCACAUGCUGUCUGGCAGUUUUCUAGCCAAAAUAUGACACAAAUUCCCUUGGACAGCUUAGAAUUCCCAUUUUCUUCACAAAACUGCAAAGAUGGGUCAGCAACAACUGCCUGA